GCGGGAGUGGCGGAAUUGGCAGACGCGCUAGAUUCAGGUUCUAGUGCCUAAAGCGGCAUAUGGGUUCAAGUCCCUUCUCCCGCA
rnacentral:tRNA from 1 species